AAUAAGGAACCUUUCGCUAAGCACGCAUACGUCCUAUAUGCAACGCGAAAGCCAUCACAUCCUGUGAA
rnacentral:misc_RNA from 1 species